ensembl:snRNA U6 U6 spliceosomal RNA
GUGAUCACUUCAGCAGCGCAUACACUAAAAUUGGAACGAUACAGAGAUUAGCAUGGCCCGUGUGCAAGGAUGACAUGCAAAUUUGUGAAGCGUUCCAUAUUUAA